AUGCACGCUGGCGGCGUGCCUAAUACAUGCAAGUCGAGCGAACAGACGAGGAGCUUGCUCCUCUGACGUUAGCGGCGGACGGGUGAGUAACACGUGGAUAACCUACCUAUAAGACUGGGAUAACUUCGGGAAACCGGAGCUAAUACCGGAUAAUAUAUUGAACCGCAUGGUUCAAUAGUGAAAGACGGUUUUGCUGUCACUUAUAGAUGGAUCCGCGCCGCAUUAGCUAGUUGGUAAGGUAACGGCUUACCAAGGCAACGAUGCGUAGCCGACCUGAGAGGGUGAUCGGCCACACUGGAACUGAGACACGGUCCAGACUCCUACGGGAGGCAGCAGUAGGGAAUCUUCCGCAAUGGGCGAAAGCUUGACGGAGCAACGCCGCGGGAGUGAUGAAGGUCUUCGGAUCGUAAAACGCUGUUAUUAGGGAAGAACAAAUGUGUAAGUAACGAUGCACGUCUUGACGGUACCUAAUCAGAAAGCCACGGCGAACUACGU
rnacentral:rRNA from 1 species